GAGGGUGUAGCUCAAGAGGUAGAGUGCAUGUUUAGCAUGCAUGAGGUCCCAGUUUCAAUCCCUGCACCUCCU
rnacentral:tRNA from 1 species